UACGGGAGGCAGCAGUGGGGAAUAUUGCACAAUGGGCGCAAGCCUGAUGCAGCCAUGCCGCGUGUAUGAAGAAGGCCUUCGGGUUGUAAAGUACUUUCAGUCGUGAGGAAGGUGUUAAGGUUAAUAACCUUAGCAAUUGACGUUAGCGACAGAAGAAGCACCGGCUAACUCCGUGCCAGCAGCCGCGGUAAUACGGAGGGUGCGAGCGUUAAUCGGAAGUUACUGGGCGUAAAGGGCACGCAGGCGGUUAAUUAAGUUGGAUGUGAAAUCCCCGGGCUUAACCUGGGAAUGGCAUUCAAGACUGGUUAGCUAGAGUCUUGUAGAGGGGGUAGAAUUCCAUGUGUAGCGGUGAAAUGCGUAGAGAUGUGGAGGAAUACCGGUGGCGAAGGCGGCCCCUGGACAAAGGCUGACGCUCAUGUGCGAAAGCGUGGGGAGCAAACAGGAUUAGAUACC
rnacentral:rRNA from 1 species